GUGUUUUAGGGUGUUUCGGUGUGUUUAAAGGGUGUUUGGUGCAUUUUAGGGUGUUUUGGUGUGUUUUAGGGUGUUUUUGCGUGUUUUAGGGUGUUUUGGUGUGUUUAAAGGGUGUUUUCAAGCUAUUUAAGAGAGUUUAAAGCAGAACAUUACUAAAACAGCAAAGAAAUAUUGGAACUGGUGUUUUUUGAGGUUAUAGUGGUAGUUAUAGGUGUUUUUGAGGUUAUAGUAGAAGUUAUAGUUGUUUUUUGAGGUUAUAGUAGAAGUUAUAGGUGUUUUUUGAGGUUAUAGUAGAAGUUAUAGUUGUUUUUUGAGGUUAUAGUAGAAGUUAUAGGUGUUUCUGGGGUUAUAGUGGUAGUUAUAGGUGUUUUUUGAGGUUAUAGUUGUAGUUAUAGGUGUUUUUGAGGUUAUAGUGGAAGUUAUAGGUGUUUUUUGAGGUUAUAGUGGAAGUUAAAGUUGUUUUUGAAGUUAUAGUAGAAGUUAUAGUUGUUUUUUGAGGUUAUAGUAGAAGUUAUAGGUGUUUUUUGAGGUUAUAGUGGAAGUUAUAGGUGUUUUUUGAGGUUAUAGUGGAAAGUUAUAGGUGUUUUUUGAGGUUAUAGUUGUAGUUAUAGGUGUUUUUUGAGGUUAUAGUGGUAGUUAUAGGUGUUUUUGGAGGUUAUAGUUGUAGUUAUAGUUGUUUUUUGAGGUUAUAGUGGAAGUUAUAGGUGUUUUUUGAGGUUAUAGUUGUAGUUAUAGGUGUUUUUUGAGGUUAUAGUGGUAGUUAUAGGUGUUUUUGAGGUUAUAGUAGAAGUUAUAGUUGUUUUUUGAGGUUAUAGUAGAAGUUAUAGGUGUUUUUUGAGGUUAUAGUGGUAGUUAUAGGUGUUUUUUGAGGUUAUAGUGGUAGUUAUAGGUGUUUUUUGAGGUUAUAGUUGUAGUUAUAGGUGUUUUUGAGGUUAUAGUAGAAGUUAUAGGUGUUUUUUGAGGUUAUAGUGGUAGUUAUAGUUGUUUUUUGAGGUUAUAGUAGAAGUUAUAGUUGUUUUUUGAGGUUAUAGUUGUAGUUAUAGUUGUUUUUUGAAGUUAUAGUAGAAGUUAUAGGUGUUUUUUGAGGUUAUAGUGGUAGUUAUAGGUGUUUUUUGAGGUUAUAGUAGAAGUUAUAGGUGUUUUUUGAGGUUAUAGUUGUAGUUAUAGGUGUUUUUUGAGGUUAUAGUAGAAGUUAUAGUUGUUUUUUGAGGUUAUAGUAGAAGUUAUAGGUGUUUCUGGGGUUAUAGUGGUAGUUAUAGGUGUUUUUUGAGGUUAUAGUGGUAGUUAUAGGUGUUUUUUGAGGUUAUAGUGGAAGUUAUAGGUGUUUUUUGAGGUUAUAAUGGUAGUUAUAGGUGUUUUUUGAGGUUAUAGUGGAAGUUAUAGGUGUCUUUUGAGGUUAUAGUGGUAGUUAUAGGUGUUUUUGAGGUUAUAGUAGAAGUUAUAGGUGUUUUUGAGGUUAUAGUGGAAGUUAUAGUUGUUUUUGAAGUUAUAGUGGUAGUUAUAGGUGUUUUUUGAGGUUAUAGUGGUAGUUAUAGGUGUUUUUUGAGGUUAUAGUGGUAGUUAUAGGUGUUUCUGGGGUUAUAGUAGAAGUUAGUGUAGUUAUCAUAAAUAG